GGAACUUUGAGGCACUGGGUUGAACCAAUUUUCACGAAUGCCAGUGCUCCUAGAAACAAAGAAAUAUCGACAAAAGUCAAUCAAUCGAUAGCGCAAAUAUUGGACGAAUAGUAUCAGAAAGAAGAUAUUAACGAGACACGGACACCGGAGACGUAACUAAUAGACAGCAGAAGAGAAUGAAUAAAAGAUUUACACACAAUCUUGUAUUAUACUAUGAUAAAUUAUUAAAUUUUUCUUCGUACGA